AAUAGGAUUCCCUUAGUAAUGGCGAAUGAACAGGGAUCAGCUCAGUAUGGAAAUCGGGGCUUCCCAGCCUUGAAUUGUAGUCUCAAGAGGUAUCGCCAACGGAGGCGCAGAUGUAAGCCUCUUGGAAAAGAGCAUCAAUGAGGGUGAGAAUCCCGUUUGUCAUCUGCAGUCCCCCGUGCACGGUGUAUCUUCUAAGAGUCGCGUUCCUCGGGAUUGGAGCGUAAAGUGGGUGGUAAAUUUCAUCUAAGGCUAAAUAUGGGUUCGAGACCGAUAGCAAACAAGUACCAUGAGGGAAAGAUGAAAAGGACUUUGAAAAGAGAGUUAAAAGUGCCUGAAAUUGCUGAAAGGGAAGCGAAUGGAACCAGUGCUCUUGGCGAGAUUGUUGUGCGCUAUGGUGAUUGCUGGCUGCUUCAGCGCAAGCGGGGUAGUUGGUACUGAGCCUGCCGCGCGCAGUGUUUCUUACCUUGUGCGUCACCGUCGGUUCACAGGCGAGGAUACUUCUGAGGACAUGGUAACUCUUCCACGGAGGUGUGAAUGUCUUUGGUAAUACUCGUUUGUAGACCGCUCACCUUCGGGUUACGAUGACUAAAUGGUUCUAUUCGACCCGUCUU
rnacentral:rRNA from 1 species